rnacentral:snRNA from 1 species
GUGCUUGCUCUGGCAGCACACAUACUAAAAAAUUGGAACAAUACAGAGAUUAGCAUAGGCCCUGCGCAAAUUUGUGAAGCGUUUCAUAGGUUU